GACGAACGCUGGCGGCGUGCCUAACACAUGCAAGUCGAACGGGGCUCUUUGGAUCGAGACUUCGGUCAAGUGAAUCUGAGCUUAGUGGCGGACGGGUGAGUAACGCGUGAGCAACCUGCCUUUCAGAGGGGGACAACAGUUGGAAACGAACGCUAAUACCGCAUAACGUGAGAAGAGGGCAUCCUCUUUUUUACCAAAGAUUUAUCGCUGAGAGAUGGGCUCGCGGCCGAUUAGGUAGUUGGUGAGAUAACAGCCCACCAAGCCGACGAUCGGUAGCCGGACUGAGAGGUUGAUCGGCCACAUUGGGACUGAGACACGGCCCAG
rnacentral:rRNA from 1 species